GCGGGAGUGGCUCAGUGGUAGAGCACUUCCUUGCCAAGGAAGAUGUCGCGGGUUCGAAUCCCGUCUCCCGCUCC
rnacentral:tRNA from 8 species